UACGUAGGGGGCUAGCGUUGUCCGGAAUCAUUGGGCGUAAAGCGCGUGUAGGCGGUUCGGUAAGUCCGCUGUGAAAGUCGGGGGCUCAACCCUCGGAUGCCGGUGGAUACUGUCGGACUAGAGUACGGAAGAGGCGAGUGGAAUUCCUGGUGUAGCGGUGAAAUGCGCAGAUAUCAGGAGGAACACCGAUUGCGAAGGCAGCUCGCCGGGACGUUACUGACGCUGAGACGCGAAAGCGUGGGGAGCAAACAGG
rnacentral:rRNA from 1 species